rnacentral:rRNA from 1 species
AGAGUUUGAUCAUGGCUCAGGACGAACGCUUGCGGCGUGCCUAAGAAAUGCAAGUCGAGCGGGGAAUUAGAUUUCGGUUUAGUUCCUAGCGGCGAACGGUCGCGUAACACGUAAGCAACCUGCCCCGAAGACCGGGACAACAUCUCGAAAGGGGUGCUAAUACCGGAUGUGGCCAUUGGGGGACAUCCCCUAGUGAUUAAAUCCAGCAAUGGGCUUCGGGAGGGGCUUGCGGCCUAUCAGCUAGUUGGUGGGGUAACGGCCUACCAAGGCGACGACGGGUAGCUGGUCUGAGAGGACGGCCAGCCGGACUGGGACUGAGAUACGGCCCAGACUCCUACGGGGGGCAGCAAUUAGGAAUCUUGCGCAAUGGGCGAAAGCCUGACGCAGCGACGCCGCGUGGAGGAGGAAGUCCUUCGGGAUGUAAACUCCUUUUUCCGGGGAAGAAACAAAUGACGGUACCCGGUGAAUAAGCCCCGGCUAACUACGUGCCAGCAGCCGCGGUAAUAC